UCGUCUCGGGGGCCGUGGGACGCGGGGCACUCAAUUCGGCCGUCACGGGAUCCGUCCAACUUCCUCCUAAGCCUGGCUCGUGUCCGGGGGGAAAACAACCUAGAAGACACAGAUCCACUGCCAGUACGGAAGUCUCUUUCUCUCAAAGCCACAACCACGAUAACGUGCACACACCAAAACGCUACUACAGAGUCCCCGAAGGAUACUCACCCGCCAGGCAGAGCUUAAUUGCCCUGCCGCUGCGAGUAUGUCACGUCGUAGCGCUAUGGUUUCCUCUCCGGCUUUCUCUCUCGGCGUCACCGUCUGCCUCUGUCCUCCGCGUCGUCCCUCUCCGCUGGGCCACCCUCUGCAGUGCUUAUCCCGGAACGCUCUCUUGUUGUCCUUCAUUGACUCCUAAAUAGUUCUCUCCAUCAGCCGCCGGUGCCUCCAGCCCCGCUACCAUUGGCUCCUGUGGAAGGAAGGGAGAACCCAAACAGGAUGAAGAGGAUGAAACUGUGUCUGUUGCCUUUACAGAGGGGGAUCCAGAAAGCCAUUACAGAGAGCAUGGCUGGACAGCAGCAGGAUGGUUCCUCAACUUCCACUGGACAGACUGACACAGUGAGAUGGAUGUUCAGGAAACACCAGAGGUUCAUUCCAUGGAAUUCAUGUGCAACUGAAUAAUUGAAUGUCCUCUAUGUAAUCCCAGUUAUCAGUAAAACGGAUUUACAAACUGCAUUUGCUGAGAAAAAUCAAAAAAACAGAUUAGGAGGGCAGAUCUGGAAAUUGAAAGACUGGAGCACAAGUUAGAGGUGGGUGAUGGUCACAGGUGAAUUAUGUUAACUAUUGGAAAAUUAACUGAACUAUCUCUUUUAUUUGUAGGAAAUAAAGAAGACCAAAUGAAAUGUGUAUCAUGUCUUUAUUUGCUGUGGUGGUGAUGAUGGUGACUUAAAAUCUAAAGUGAUUAUUGCAUAUGGUGUCUCUGACUGCUCUGCUGUCCUGGAUAGCUGCAGGUGGAUGGGGUCAUUAUCUGGGUCUUCAGUUUGUAGGGCAGGGUGUUGCUCUCCUCUAAUAGUAAUAUUAUGAAGA